AUUGAACGCUGGCGGCAGGCCUAACACAUGCAAGUCGAACGGCAGCACAGAAGAGCUUGCUCUUUGGGUGGCGAGUGGCGGACGGGUGAGUAAUGUCUGGGAAGCUGCCCGAUGGAGGGGGAUAACUACUGGAAACGGUAGCUAAUACCGCAUAACGUCGCGAGACCAAAGUGGGGGACCUUCGGGCCUCACACCAUCGGAUGUGCCCAGAUGGGAUUAGCUAGUAGGUGGGGUAAUGGCUCACCUAGGCGACGAUCCCUAGCUGGUCUGAGAGGAUGACCAGCCACACUGGAACUGAGACACGGUCCAGACUCCUACGGGAGGCAGCAGUGGGAAUAUUGCACAAUGGGCGCAAGCCUGAUGCAGCCAUGCCGCGUGUAUGAAGAAGGCCUUCGGGUUGUAAAGUACUUUCAGCGGGGAGGAAGGCGGUGAGGUUAAUAACCUCGCCGAUUGACGUUACCCGCAGAAGAAGCACCGGCUAACUCCGUGCCAGCCGCCGCGGUAA
rnacentral:rRNA from 1 species